AGAAGCACCCCGCAGGACACGGUUCCCGCUUGGAAGGGGGGGUGGGGGACGGACAGAGCACACCGCAGGGCAGGUUUCACGCUUGGAAGGGGGGGUGGGGGACAGACAGAGCACACCGCAGGGCAGGUUUCACGCUUGGAAGGGGGGAUCGGUGAGGAAGAAGCACCCCGCAGGACACGGUUCCCGCUUGGAAGGGGGGGUGGGGGACGGACAGAGCACACCGCAGGGCAGGUUUCACGCUUGGAAGGGGGGGUGGGGGACGGACAGAGCACACCGCAGGGCAGGUUUCACGCUUGGAAGGGGGGGUGGGGGACAGACAGAGCACACCGCAGGGCAGGUUUCACGCUUGGAAGGGGGGAUCGGUGAGGAAGAAGCACCCCGCAGGACACGGUUCCCGCUUGGAAGGGGGGGUGGGGGACGGACAGAGCACACCGCAGGGCAGGUUUCACGCUUGGAAGGGGGGGUGGGGGACGGACAGAGCACACCGCAGGGCAGGUUUCACGCUUGGAAGGGGGGGUGGGGGACGG